GACGUGUGCUCUUCCGAUCACUUAACCAACCAGCAGCGACUAUAGAUCUCACUGGGUCUGGGGCUGCAAUGGAUACGUCAUAGGCUCAAGGGUUUGGCUUAGAGGGAAUAGAGGUGUUUCUUUUUCAUAUUGCAAUAUCUGUCGUCAGUCAUUGUUGUUAUUGAUAAUUUACGCAUCAGAGUGAAUUAAUGAAUGAAAUAUAACAAACCCAUUUUUAGGAAAUAAAGCAAUUUG